ensembl:lncRNA
GGGAUGGCCUUGGACCUCUGUGGAAACACUUAUCAGUGAGACAAAGACAAGUUUUCAACUAAAGAGUUUUACCUUUUGCAAGAAGUAGAAAAGGCCUCACAGGUCAGCAUCUACAGCACUUGAAUAUGGAAACAACUGUUCAGUCAUCAAUUUACCCUCUCACUGGCAAGCUUUGCAUAUAUGGACAGUCAGAGCACCUGAAUAUAGAAACAUUUGCUCUGUCAUCCACUUACCCUCUCACUGGCAAGUUUUGCGUAUUUGGACUGUCAGAGCAAGAAUCCCAGUGGUCUUGUUCAUCUCUCUAUGCCACUGACAUAAGCGUUAGUCUUUGAAUCCAUUGCCUGCCUUCCAAUUCAGUGUCUCCUCCAUGAUGGCCCAUGGCAAAACAAAGCCAAAGCAGCUCAUGGCUUGCAUUGCAGCCCAUGGUCUCUGAAGGAUCCGUGCAGCUGGCUUUGGUGUGCUUGAGCUGCCACAGACUUCUCCAAAUAGAAGAGCAAGGUUGUGGAGACAGCGACUGACCAGCUGGCUCCUCACUUUUUGCCUUAAGAAUUCUCCAUCUUUCUCAUCAUUAAGUACAUGUGCAUGAGCAUGAAUACAUGCGUAAGCAUGUAUGUAUGUGUCUAAGCGUGUUUGGGUGUCUUUCCAAGAGGACUUUCAAGCAAAUUUUCUCCUAACUUCUCCUCUUCAAACUGAUGUGUGCCCUUCCAUCCAACAGAAAAACCCUUUGCCCCUUUGUAACCAAGUCCAUUUCCCUAGUUUAAGAGAGAAAAACCUCAACUAGCUCUUUUGGCAAACACAGGGCGUGUAAGAAAGGGGCAAGCUCAUCUCAGGUAUCUCCCAGCACCUAUUUUAGCAGUUCUUCCCUCAGCAGAUCGUCUCCUUGGGUCAGUCGUGGCUAGAGACAGCCCCUGGGCACCCCAGAUGUAGCUGCUGAACUCCCAGGAUGUCCUCAUUAGCAUAGAUCCAGACUCUGCACAGAUGUAAAGAAAAAACAAGAAGAAUUCAUUCAAUUCNNNNNNNNNNNNNNNNNNNNNNNNNNNNNNNNNNNNNNNNNNNNNNNNNNNNNNNNNNNNNNNNNNNNNNNNNNNNNNNNNNNNNNNNNNNNNNNNNNNCUGCACAGAUGUAAAGAAAAAACAAGAAGAAUUCAUUCAAUUCUUUCAGAGAUUCUGUAAAAGAAAAGGUGGACUGACCAAACUGCAUAAUUCUCCAACCAACAAGCUCACCAGAAAGCGCGGACUUUCUUUAAAUGAAAGAGCUGAAGAAGAGAGUUUUCUAAAAUGGGGCACAUGUGUUUUUUCCUUCCUGAGGGAAAACCUGUUCAACUUUGGGUUUCAUCGCUCAUAAAUUAUCAAGUUAUUUCUCACUUACGACAUAAAUAUCAGUCUGGUUGGUAUAUAUCCACUAGCACAUCAGCUGAGACUGAAGAGAGCUAAAUUUACAAAACAUUAAAUCAAUAAGCAUGUGUGAAUGGGUAAACAGCGUGAUAUCCUUCACUUAAUAAGGCCGAGGCAUUGCUGUUAAUCAUCUGUUUUGCAGCUUCUGAAGUUUUUUUUCCUUUUAAUUUUAUAGUGUUGCUAGAAGCCUAGAUGAGUGAGGUCCUUCUAUCAGAAGAAGAAAACAAUGUAUCUCAAAAUAGGAAAUGAGAAAUAUUCCCAAGAAGAUGAAACCAUAAUAUCUGAAGUGCUGCAAUCAUUGCAAGAUGCUGCAAUCAUAAGGAAGAAAUAAUAGCUCCAGUGCUUAAACUAAGGAGAAACCCUAGAACAGACAGGGCUACCAGUUGUCUCUCAGGAAAACACCAGUCUUCCAGAUGGCAAAUGGAGGUACAAAAGAAUAAAAAUAGCAUGUUUGCUCCCUUCUCUUUUCUAGGACUCCCCCAAAACAUGUCCCUAAACCCACAAGAACAGACUGGCAGUCUCCUUACAUUAAAAAAGAUCCUUCCAUAUAGAAGUACCCACCCCCACCAUGGGCUUCCCUUUUAUGUUACUAAAUAGAAGUCAUUACAGGCUGGAUUGGAGUAUUUCAACUGCUUUAUCUGCAAUGCCCAGACCAAGAACAACAUACUAGAGGGAACCACCAGCAGAUGAGAGAUUUCAUCUGGUAGAAGAUGUUAAUGACCACUGCAAAUUGGUGGGAGCUAUAGCUUCCUGGUGGCUCAGA